rnacentral:rRNA from 1 species
GGUGAACGCUGGCGGCGUGCCUAGUACAUGCAAGUCGAGCGAACAGACGAGGAGCUUGCUCCUCUGACGUUAGCGGCGGACGGGUGAGUAACACGUGGAUAACCUACCUAUAAGACUGGGAUAACUUCGGGAAACCGGAGCUAAUACCGGAUAAUAUAUUGAACCGCAUGGUUCAAUAGUGAAAGACGGUUUUGCUGUCACUUAUAGAUGGAUCCGCGCCGCAUUAGCUAGUUGGUAAGGUAACGGCUUACCAAGGCAACGAUGCGUAGCCGACCUGAGAGGGUGAUCGGCCACACUGGAACUGAGACACGGUCCAGACUCCUACGGGAGGCAGCAGUAGGGAAUCUUCCGCAAUGGGCGAAAGCCUGACGGAGCAACGCCGCGUGAGUGAUGAAGGUCUUCGGAUCGUAAAACUCUGUUAUUAGGGAAGAACAAAUGUGUAAGUAGCUAUGCACGUCUUGACGGUACCUAAUCAGAAAGCCACGGCUAACUACGUG